UACAGGGGGUGCAAACGUUGCUCGGAAUCAUUGGGCGUAAAGCGCACGUAGGCGGUCUGUUAUGUCGGAUGUGAAAGCCCUUGGCUCAACUGAGGAAGUGCAUCCGAAACUGGCAGGCUAGAGUACUAAAGAGGGUCGCGGAAUUCCCGGUGUAGAGGUGAAAUUCGUAGAUAUCAGGAGGAACACCGGUGGUGUAGACGGCUUUCUGGACCGUAACUGACGCUGAGACACGAAAGCGUGGGUAGCAAACAGG
rnacentral:rRNA from 1 species